rnacentral:misc_RNA from 1 species
UCUCCCGUGAGGGAGCUGUCUCGCCUGACACUUGUAACAGGCAACGAGGGUUGCGUUCGUUUCCCCACUUAAGGGAACAACUCAAGCCACGAACUGACGACGACCAUGCAUCACCUGUCAUACACCCUCGAAGGCUUCCUCCGUUUCUGGAGGCGUGCAGUAUGAUUUCUAACCAUGGUAAGGUUUUUCGCUUAGCGACGAAUUAAGCCACAUGAUCCACCGCUUGUGCGAGCCCCCGUCUAUUCCUUUGAGUUUUAGCCUUGCGGCCGUACUACCCAGGUGGAUAACUUAACGCGUUAGCUUCGCCACAGAGAGGGUCGAUACUCCCUAUAGCCAGUUAUCAUCGUUUAGGGCGUAGACUAC